rnacentral:sRNA from 1 species
UUACCAUACUUUUCAAUUGAAAUGAAGGUUUUUCAUCAGCCUUAAAAGUGUAAGAAAAAUCAAGUCAUUCAUUAAUUUGAAAAAAAA